rnacentral:rRNA from 1 species
UGCAAGUCGAGCGGACAGAUGGGAGCUUGCUCCCUGAUGUUAGCGGCGGACGGGUGAGUAACACGUGGGUAACCUGCCUGUAAGACUGGGAUAACUCCGGGAAACCGGGGCUAAUACCGGAUGGUUGUUUGAACCGCAUGGUUCAAACAUAAAAGGUGGCUUCGGCUACCACUUACAGAUGGACCCGCGGCGCAUUAGCUAGUUGGUGAGGUAAUGGCUCACCAAGGCAACGAUGCGUAGCCGACCUGAGAGGGUGAUCGGCCACACUGGGACUGAGACACGGCCCAGACUCCUACGGGAGGCAGCAGUAGGGAAUCUUCCGCAAUGGACGAAAGUCUGACGGAGCAACGCCGCGUGAGUGAUGAAGGUUUUCGGAUCGUAAAGCUCUGUUGUUAGGGAAGAACAAGUACCGUUCGAAUAGGGCGGUACCUUGACGGUACCUAACCAGAAAGCCACGGCUAACUACGUGCCAGCAGCCGCGGUAAUACGUAGGUGGCAAGCGUUGUCCGGAAUUAUUGGGCGUAAAGGGCUCGCAGGCGGUUUCUUAAGUCUGAUGUGAAAGCCCCCGGCUCAACCGGGGAGGGUCAUUGGAAACUGGGGAACUUG